UACGGAGGGAGCUAGCGUUGUUCGGAAUUACUGGGCGUAAAGCGCGCGUAGGCGGCUUUGUAAGUCAGAGGUGAAAUCCCGGGGCUCAACUCCGGAACUGCCUUUGAAACUGCAUCGCUUGAAUGUCGGAGAGGUGAGUGGAAUUCCGAGUGUAGAGGUGAAAUUCGUAGAUAUUCGGAAGAACACCAGUGGCGAAGGCGGCUCACUGGACGACUAUUGACGCUGAGGUGCGAAAGCGUGGGGAGCAAACAGG
rnacentral:rRNA from 1 species